AUGCUUGUCUCAAAGAUUAAGCCAUGCAUGCCUAAGUCCUGACAUUGGUCUUAACCACGGAUCGCUCAUUAUAUCAGUCAUAAUCGUUAAGUGUUUCGCAGCACGGGUAACUGUGCCAAUUCUAGAGCUAAUACGGUGUUUCAUGGGGUGCACCUUCACGGGUGCAUCCUUCAUGUCGUAACCAUUGGACGGAGCUUAUGGUGUUGAUGUUCUGCAUCGUGUCGGCUGUCUGUGUGUGGCCCCUCACUGUGUAUGUGCCACGCGUUCCUCUGUUCYGUCGCGGCAUUCCCUUCAUUGGUCGAGUGUUCGUGGUGGUUCAUGUCGUGUGGCAUUUGCUUUGAGGUGGUUUUCGCGCGGGUCGUUAUGACGGUGUGUUCGGAUCGCCUCUGCGAAAUCCUGAUUAGAUGACUCUGGAGAAUUUCUCAUGAAAGCGUCCACUUGUGGAUGCGAGCACUUUUCGAGUGUCUGUCCUAUCAGCUAGACAACAGUGUAACGAACUGUUGUGGCGAUGACGGGUAACGGGGAAUCUAAGUUCGGUUCCGGAGAAGUAGCCCUAGACAAGGCUAUUACGUCCAAGGAAGGCAGCAGGCA
rnacentral:rRNA from 1 species